UAUAAUUGUUGAUACUAGAUUAAAGUUUAAUAUUUUAAGUUGUUCCAAAAUCUGAAGCAUUUUUAUUUGAAUUGAGCAUAUUUACACGGUUAUUAUCCUAUUUAGUUAUGAGAAUUGUUCAUGUAUACAUCUUAGAAUUUUCAUUUUUAACAUUAUGAGUUAUAACAAAGGAUUUAUUAACUACGUCUCUGCAUUUAGUAUUUCUUAACCCUGUAAGCUUUCAAAAAGAGUAGUAUUAUUAAAACAAAUAAUUCCUUUGUAAACUCAAUUUUAAAGAAUGGAGGUUUUAUGGAAAAACCCUGUAAAAUGACUGAUUUGAGGCACAAAUUUUAAAGAAAGAAAUAUACUUUUUAACUGAGAUAAUAUUUAAAUUCUUUUAACUUUAGCGAAUAUUUCGACGCUAUUCACAGUUUCGUUUUUAAAAUAAGUAACCCAUUUUACCUUGACUUUUUAUAUUGAAGUGAUAUAAAAAGUGACUUUCUAGAAAAGUUGAUUUAUUAUCUGAUGUUAAACUAAAUGGCUAUAUUCUGCUGUAACUCCUCUUUUUUUCCAAGAAGUUCCAACUCCUUAUUGUCUUAAAAAUAGUGACAGACACCUAAAUCAUAAAAAAAAUUAUGGUAAUUAAGAAGCUUUUGAUUAUCCUAAACGAAUGAUAAUCCUUUAACAAGUGUCCUAUCACAAUAUAUGAUUUUUUGAGAAAAAAAACUGUCUUAUAAAUAUGACACUGGGUGCUAAUUAAUUAAAUUUACCAUUCAAAAUACUGAUUGGAAUAACAUUUAAAAAAAAUAACUUUAUUGUAUAAUAAAAGUUAAAUUUUCCAUUCAAAAUCUGAUUGCAAAAAAUAAUUUAAUUGUGAAGUGAAGAUAGUCACAAUCAUUAGUGUUUUUUGUUUUUUUUAUGUAUAUAUAUCACAGUACAAGAAAGCAUCUUGAUGUUUUGACAAUCUUGAAAGUAAUCAUAAAUGUUAGUUUUCACCUGUUAACAGUUUAGAUGUUCCCUUUAUAUUUGUUGUGUUAAAUUUUGACUACAUUAGUAAAAGCACUUUUGAGCUCUUACUAACUAGUAAAAUUUAAUAUGAAAGAGUAAUGGCUUUGUGUGUGUAAUUUUUUCCUUGACAUUAUUUUUUGUUUGAUUCUGAGCCUUAAAACUUAAAAAUGUUUGUUAAUUACUAGCAUCCAUUAUAACUUUUUUUUUUCAAAAUAAAUUAUAUAUAAAAAUUUAUCAUUAUUUUUUAAAAGUCUUGAUAAUAAAAUGUAUAGAAUUAUUCUUGAAAAUGUUAAGAAUUAAUGUAGUAUAUUCUCAAGAAUAUUCUAAGAUGAGAUUCUGUUGAAUAAUUUUUAAGUGACGAUUUUAUGCAUUAGUUAGAUUUUCUAUUAACUUUUACUUUUUCUCGUUUCUAGAUUUGUUGUGUAUUUUUAUUUGCAACUUGCCGUAUUGUGUUAUGUCUAAAAAAUUAUCUGUCUCUUUUGUGUGUGUCAUUAGUAAAAUUAAAACUUCAAACACUUAUUAUUAUUUUUUUCUUAACACAUUAAUCUGUCCAUUAUGUGACAAACUCUAAGUAGACCUGCUGGGCUCACUUUUCGAGGUUAAUCUUUUUUCUUUCUUUUUUUUAAGUAUAAAUAAUAAGAAACUUGACUUUCCUUUGAUGUGUCAAUUUCUAACUCAGACUUACUUCUUACACACAUUACUUAUUUUUCUAUAUUUUACUUUGUAUAACAUUUUUGUUUAUUUUCCAGGGAGCCCUUAUUCUGGUGUUUGUGAAGCAAAGUUUUUUUCUAUCUCACUUCCCUGUAAUUUACAAAGAUGUGGUGGUGACACUUUAUAUCGUUUCAGUGAUCUUCUUUCUUCUAGAAGUCAUCGUGGAUCUCAAAAUUUGCUAAAAACUGAUCUUGCAGCAAAUAAAUUAAUUGACUGUAAAAUAUGUGGUAUGAAGUUCAAGAAAAAAUCUAAUUUAAGGGUUCAUGUCUUAAAACACAGAUUCAGUGAAAAUUUUGUCACACAUAUGGUUCAGGCUCAAAAUAUUUUUCAUUGUCAAAACUAUGUGAAUGAUCUAAAACAAACUGGCCAAAAAUUGUUUUAAGUUCCACUAUAUAGCAUUUAUAAAAAUUAUGUUUAUUUGACGGAUAUUACUGCAAAAUAUGUUGGAAGCAUUUUUCUUCAAAGACCUUGUUAAAAAGGCAUACAAAAACUCAUGAGAAACAUCGUCCUUUUAAAUGUCAAUAUUGUUCAUAUUCAGCUAUUUCUUUAUCACAUUUAAAGCGACAUUUUCUUACACAUACUCAGCAGCGUCCUUUUCGUUGCACCACUUGUGGAAAAUCUUUUAAUCAUAAGGAUACUUUAAAAAAUCACCUCUACAUUCAUACCGGUAACAAACCUUAUCAAUGUGAUCUUUGUAGUACUCAAUUUACUCGAUAUGCUCUUUUAAAACAACAUAAAAUGCGUCAUCAUUAUGCAUUACAUUAAUUUAUGCUCUCUAUUUGUAUUCCUUUUGUCUAUUCAUAUCCUUAAAAAAUAAAAUUAAAAUGACACUUGAAUAUUUAUUAUGGCUAUUUAGGACACAAUACACUUGAAAAUUAUAUAUUUCAGGAAGAGCUAGCUUCUCUUCAUCAGGCAUCAACUGUCUGGUGUAGUGAAGCUUGUUCUUCCCAAAACCUGCAGAUUUAUUUUUAUGUGUAUGGAACACUUAAGAAGUCUUAAUAAAUAAUCAUGUGUUUCACACCUGUUUUGAUUCUUCAAUGAAAUGACACACUUUUGCUUUGUAAUUAUACUCAAAUUAUUUUCUUAUACCUUUUAAUUUCAAAAAAAAUAUUUAAAUGUAUUUCUUUAUUGUAUAUAUUAUUUUUGUUUAAAUACUCUCUCCUUUUUCUCAUCUUGUAAAGACAUAAGUCAUGCCUUUUUUAUAUUUUUCAAAAAAUUCCUUAAUUCAUCACAUCUUUCUUCUUUUUUUUUAAAGUGGGAUUCUCAAAACGAAAUCUAAAUUACUCCUGUAUGGAUUAAUUUGCAACAUCAAGCAUAUACUUUUUCUAUUUGUAAUUUUAAAUAUUUUUGAUAAAUUAUGCUUUUCCUCUCUAUCUUAACUGUUGUUGUUGUUUCUCAUCCCCACUGGUCUAGCGGAGCUAGACGAGGUCCAUGAACCCAUUCACCCUCAGGAAAUCAAAAAUUAAGACCGGGUCGCGCAGAAAAUCCUCCUUUUCAAAAUCCACACAGCUAAGGAGGUGGGCCUUGCUGGCUGCACUGGAGAAACAUUUGUUGCAGGUGGGAUAGACCUUUCAUUGCUGUUCGUACCUCAUGCACCUAAUGUGACCACUGAUGAAUCUAGUGAACACGGUCUGAUCGCCUCUAUUACCUCUUAAGGUCAAAGCACGACCCACCUUAUCCCCAGAGUACCAGAUAUGUACUGGGGGAGUAUUCCAGACUAGCUGGGCACCUUUCUUUCUAAUGGAGUUCUCUAUCUUAUCUGGCUAUGUUGAUAGCUUUGUUUUUCGCUCUUCCAUAGAAACUUAUUUUUAUGUAAAAAAGUUCUUGCUAAUUAAAAUUUUCUCAUAAAAGAAUUUUAAAAUUAUCUUCCUUACUUACAUUUUAAUCAUUUUGAUUUCUAAGAACAAUUUUAGGCAUUUGAUAAAUUUCACUUUGUUAACUCAUUGGUAAAGCAUCAACAUUAUCUUAAGUUAGAAAAUGGAGAAAAAAAUUAGUCCUCCUUGUAUAUUUUGCACUAAAACCAUAAGUCUCAAUAAAAAUCAUAAAAUGGCGCCAUUUUUAAUUUGUUGCUAAGGUUACCUAUAAAAAAUCAAUUCAGUGUAUUUAUAAAAGGGUGUGAGAUAAUGUUUUAUAACUCUAUGCUUCUAUUUACCAUUUUCUGAAUUUAUACAUUGUGUUAUUUAUAUGUAAAAGGAAACUAUAGUAUUACUUAAAUUUAAAGUUCAUUUUUUACUCCAUUUUAAUUCUGUACAAAGAUAAAGAAUAUCUAUAUCUAAGUUUAAUUUGAAAUUUCUAAUUUUUGUAAAAAUUUGUUUAAGGAGACAAAAUGCAAACUUUUACUAGAUAGAAAAGGUAGAGAGUCAUGAAGGCAAAAUAUUUUUUGACAAAUAAAUAUUUGGUCAUACAGUGGCUGGUGGUGUUUUUAUUUAUGUAUUGUACGUCAUAUAUUCUUUAAAAUUGUAUGUUUACAUAUCCACUUUCCAUAAUUUCCUAUUUCAUUUGUUUGUAAAUUUUAUUUUAGAAAAACUUAUAAAGUUUUUUUAAAGCUUAUUUCUGUAAUACUUUAAAGUAAUGUCUAAAAGUAUGUGCUAUUUUUCAUUCAACUAUACAAAUAUGUAAAAGCAUUUAUUAAAAAUAAUUAUUCUUUGUUAUGUAUAUUCAUAUAUUUUAAUUUGUUUCAAAAAAAAAAAUUCUUUUUAAAAUAUCAAUUUGUUUUGUGUGUGUUAAAUUAUACACAAUGCAAUUCAGAAUUAUUUAUUAUUAUUUUGUUGAGCUUACUUUUAUUUAUGUUCUUUUUUUUU